GAACUUAAGCAUAUCAAUAAGGCGAGGAACAGAAACCAACUGGGAUUCCCCUAGUAGUGGCGAAUGAAGCGGGAAAAGCUCAAGUUUGAAAUCCGGCGGGUGACUUCCGGAGUUGUAAGCUGAUGAGGUAUCGACCGACGUGGUCCGGGCCCAAUUUCCUUGGAACAGGAGGUCAUGGAGGGUGAGAACCCCGUCCGUGGCUCGGGUGCCAUCGUCCUUGUGUCGUGUCCUCUAAGAGUCGGGUUGUUUGGGAAUGCAGCUCAAAAUGGGUGGUAAAUUUCAUCUAAAGCUAAAUACUGGCGAGAGACCGAUAGCAAACAAGUAGAGUGAUCGAAAGAUGAAAAGUACUUUGAAAAGAGAGUGAAACAGUACGUGAAAUUGUUGAAAGGGAAGCAUUUGGCAUCAGCCCUUGGCGUCCGUCGAACAUCCAGGCUUCUGCCUGGUGCACUCGUCGGUCGUCGGGCCAGCGUCGGCUCUGCCUGUCGGAGAAAGGUCCGAGGGAUGUGGCUCACCUUCGAGCGUUAUAACCUCGGGCGUCAUGCGAUAUGGUGGGGCCGAGGUCUGCGGACUCUGUCCUAGGACGCUGGCGUAAUGGUUCCAAGCGACCCGUCUUGAAACACGGACCAAGGAGUCUAACAUCUAUGCGAGUGUUUGGGUGUCAAGCCCGUCCGCGCAAUGAAAGUGAAUGCAGGCGGGAGCCGUAAAAGGUGCACCGCCGACCGGUCCGGGGGUUUACCGAAGGAUCCGAGUAAGAGCAUAGCUGUUGGGACCCGAAA
rnacentral:rRNA from 1 species